UACGGGGGGGGCAAGCGUUGUUCGGAAUUACUGGGCGUAAAGGGCUCGUAGGCGGCCAACUAAGUCGGACGUGAAAUCCCUCGGCUUAACCGGGGAACUGCAUCCGAUACUGGAGGGCUUGAGUUUGGGAGAGGGAUGCGGAAUUCCAGGUGUAGCGGUGAAAUGCGUAGAUAUCUGGAGGAACACCGGUGGCGAAGGCGGCAUCUUGGACCAACACUGACGCUGAGGAGCGAAAGCCAGGGGAGCAAACGGG
rnacentral:rRNA from 1 species